GGGCACAUGGUGUAGUUGGUUAUCACAUCCGCUUAGCAUGAGUGGGAAGACAUUGCUGCGGGGGGUGCUGGGUUCAAUUCCCAGUGUGUCCA